GCGGAGGAAAAGAAACUAACAAGGAUUCCCCUAGUAACUGCGAGUGAAGCGGGAAAAGCUCAAAUUUAAAAUCUGGCAGUCUUUGAUUGUCCGAGUUGUAAUCUAGAGAAGUGUUAUCCGCGUUGGACCGUGUACAAGUCUCCUGGAAUGGAGCGUCAUAGAGGGUGAGAAUCCCGUCUUUGACACGGACUACCAAGGCUUUGUGAUGCGCUCUCAAAGAGUCGAGUUGUUUGGGAAUGCAGCUCAAAAUGGGUGGUAAAUUCCAUCUAAAGCUAAAUAUUGGCGAGAGACCGAUAGCGAACAAGUACCGUGAGGGAAAGAUGAAAAGAACUUUGGAAAGAGAGUUAAACAGUACGUGAAAUUGCUGAAAGGGAAACGCUUGAAGUCAGUCGCGUCGUUCAGAACUCAACCUUACUUUUGUGGGGUGUAUUUUCUGUUUGACGGGUCAGUAUCAAUUUUGACCGUUGGAUAAAGUCCUUUGGAAUGUGGCUUCUUCGGAAGUGUUAUAGCCUUUGGUCGCAUACAACGGUUGGGAUUGAGGUACUCAGCACGCUGCAAAGCCGGGUUUCGACCACGUUCGUGCUUAGGAUACUGGCAUAAUGGCUUUAAUCGACCCGUCUUGAAACACGGACCAAGGAGUCUAACAUGCCUGCGAGUGUUUGGGUGGAAAACCCGAGCGCGUAAUGAAAGUGAAAGUUGAGAUCCCUGUCGUGGGGAGCAUCGACGCCCGGACCAGACCUUUUGUGACGGAUCCGCGGUAGAGCAUGUAUGUUGGGACCCGAAAGAUGGUGAACUAUGCCUGAAUAGGGUGAAGCCAGAGGAAACUCUGGUGGAGGCUCGUAGCGAUUCUGACGUGCAAAUCGAUCGUCAAAUUUGGGUAUAGGGGCGAAAGACUAAUCGAACCAUCUAGUAGCUGGUCCUGCCGAAGUUUCCCUCAGGAUAGCAGAAACUCAUUUCAGAUUUAUGUGGUAAAGCGAAUGAUUAGAGGCCUUGGGGUUGAAACAACCUUAACCUAUUCUCAAACUUUAAAUAUGUAAGAACGAGCCGUCUCUUGAUUGGACCGCUCGGCGAUUGAGA
rnacentral:rRNA from 1 species